rnacentral:rRNA from 1 species
AUACGGAGGAUGCGAGCGUUAUCCGGAUUUAUUGGGUUUAAAGGGUGCGCAGGCGGUUUGUCAAGUCAGCGGUGAAACGCAAGGGCUUAACCCUUGACCUGCCGUUGAAACUGAUUGACUAGAAUGCGGAUGCUGUGGGAGGAAUGUGUGGUGUAGCGGGGCAAUGCAUAGAUAUCACACAGAACACCGAUUGCGAAGGCAUCUCACAAAUCCGUGAUUGACGCUGAGGCACGAAAGUGUGGGGAUCAAACAGGAUUAGAUACCCUGGUAGUCCACACUGUAAACGAUGAUGACUCGCUGUCGGCGAUAUACAGUCGGUGGCCAAGCGAAAGCGAUAAGUCAUCCACCUGGGGAGUACGACCGCAAGGUUGAAACUCAAAUGAAUUGGCGGGG